CCUACGGGCGGCUGCAGUGGGGAAUAUUGGACAAUGGGCGAAAGCCUGAUCCAGCCAUGCCGCGUGUGUGAAGAAGGCCUUCGGGUUGUAAAGCACUUUCAGUGGGGAAGAAAGCCUUGGGGCUAAUACCCUCGAGGAAGGACAUCACCCACAGAAGAAGCACCGGCUAACUCCGUGCCAGCAGCCGCGGUAAUACGGAGGGUGCGAGCGUUAAUCGGAAUUACUGGGCGUAAAGCGCGCGUAGGCGGUCUGAUAAGCCGGUUGUGAAAGCCCCGGGCUCAACCUGGGAACGGCAUCCGGAACUGUCAGGCUAGAGUGCAGGAGAGGAAGGUAGAAUUCCCGGUGUAGCGGUGAAAUGCGUAGAGAUCGGGAGGAAUACCAGUGGAGAAGGCGGCCUUCUGGACUGACACUGACGCUGAGGUGCGAAAGCGUGGGUAGCAAACAGGAUUAGAUACCCUAGUAGUC
rnacentral:rRNA from 1 species